UUCAAUAAAUGCUCGACUCAAUUGCAGUCAGCAGUCCUGAUUUGAAUGGUUGAUUGAUUGAGUUUCAGAGAGGAAGACUAGUUUUGUUGUGGUGAGAUGUGGUGGUGCAAAGACGCAUGAUGAGUGGCGAUUCUGGAAUAUCUGCAUUUCAUGAGGAAGACAACAUAUUUUGUUGGAAAGGAACGAUCUCGGGGAGCAGAAUGUUUAUGCACUUCAGAUAUGUUCUGAAAGAUCAAUAGGUGCAAAAGAUUCAGAUAUUGACUCCUAACAUUGGAGUAGUAUAUAGUGGGAUGGGGCCUGAUUCGCGAGUCUUGGUCAGAAAGAGUAGGAAGCAGGCAGAGCAGUACAAUCUACUCUACAAAG